rnacentral:rRNA from 1 species
AAUUUUCCGCAAUGGGCGCAAGCCUGACGGAGCAAGACCGCGUGCGGGAGGACGGCCUAUUGGUUGUAAACCGCUUUUGAUAGGGAAGAAGUUCUGACGGUACCUAUCGAAUCAGCAUCGGCUAACUCCGUGCCAGCAGCCGCGGUAAUACGGAGGAUGCAAGCGUUAUCCGGAAUUAUUGGGCGUAAAGCGUCCGUAGGUGGUUGUUCAAGUCUGCUGUUAAAGCGUGCGGCUUAACCGCAUACCAGCAGUGGAAACUGGGCGACUAGAGUGCGGUAGGGGUCAGGGGAAUUCCCAGUGUAGCGGUGAAAUGCGUAGAUAUUGGGAAGAACACCGGUGGCGAAAGCGCCUGACUGGACC